AUUGAACGCUGGCGGCAUGCCUUACACAUGCAAGUCGAACGGUAACAGGUCUUCGGAUGCUGACGAGUGGCGAACGGGUGAGUAAUGCAUCGGAACGUGCCCAGUAGUGGGGGAUAGCCCGGCGAAAGCCGGAUUAAUACCGCAUACGACCUGAGGGUGAAAGGGGGGGAUCGCAAGACCUCUCGCUAUUGGAGCGGCCGAUGUCAGAUUAGCUAGUUGGUGGGGUAAAGGCCUACCAAGGCAACGAUCUGUAGUUGGUCUGAGAGGACGACCAGCCACACUGGGAUUGAGACACGGCCCAGACUCCUACGGGAGGCAGCAGUGGGGAAUUUUGGACAAUGGGCGCAAGCCUGAUCCAGCAAUGCCGCGUGCAGGAAGAAGGCCUUCGGGUUGUAAACUGCUUUUGUCAGGGAAGAAAUCUUCUGGGUUAAUACCUCGGGAGGAUGACGGUACCUGAAGAAUAGGCACCGGCUAACUACGUGCCAGCAGCCGCCGUAAAAC
rnacentral:rRNA from 1 species